GAAAUGGAGGUUUUAUUAUAUUUAAGGACCCUGUCUGGAGAAUGCAUAGAAACUUGGACAUUUCUUCCUCUGAUGCCCACUGUCCAUGAAGAAGGGAGAUGUCUCUGGGGCUAUGAAGAUACGGAUUCCCAUGAUGAUGUCACUCACUGAUGCUUCUGUUGGAUGACAUCUCCAAAUACUGAGUUCUUCUAGUUCUACUUGGUGUGUGGGUGCUAUUAGUGACACUCUUCUGAGUUACAGCAAA
rfam:Neotoma lepida isolate 417 scaffold_1670, whole genome shotgun sequence.